ACGAACGCUGGCGGCGUGCCUAAUACAUGCAAGUAGAACGCUGAAGGAGGAGCUUGCUUCUCUGGAUGAGUUGCGAACGGGUGAGUAACGCGUAGGUAACCUGCCUGGUAGCGGGGGAUAACUAUUGGAAACGAUAGCUAAUACCGCAUAAUAGUAGAUGUUGCAUGACAUUUGCUUAAAAGGUGCAAUUGCAUCACUACCAGAUGGACCUGCGUUGUAUUAGCUAGUUGGUGGGGUAACGGCUCACCAAGGCGACGAUACAUAGCCGACCUGAGAGGGUGAUCGGCCACACUGGGACUGAGACACGGCCCAGACUCCUACGGGAGGCAGCAGUAGGGAAUCUUCGGCAAUGGACGGAAGUCUGACCGAGCAACGCCGCGUGAGUGAAGAAGGGUUUCGGAUCGUAAAGCUCGGUUGUAAGAGAAGAACGAGUGUGAGAGUGGAAAGUUCACACUGUGACGGUAUCUUACCAGAAAGGGACGGCUAACUACGUG
rnacentral:rRNA from 1 species